AACAAGGAUAGGAAGGGAAAGAAAUGGGCAUUUGCCGUUCUCUAGUGAGAUUAGGGAUAUGGCUGAGAUUAUUAUUCAUGCCAUCUGUGUCCUUAUAAAAAUAAAGUCUUCAUAUAGUGGAGAUGACGGUUCUUAGCUUCACCUUGAGGACCCCUGAAACUAGAGAUUACUCAGUCUGUAUGCUGGGAAAUGGGCUGUAAACUCAUAAAGUGCUUUGAAUUCCUCAGGAGAUUUCACUUGGAGGUGUCAAUCCUCAAUAUUAAAAUAAAAUUACUUGUCUGUUGAGCCUCAGAUACACCUUCCUAAGUCACCUGAUGUUACAUUUAUUGAGCUAUCACGUCAGAGAAGGUUCUGAAAGUCUCAUUUUGGAGGGGCUCCCGUGGGAAAUUUUCUCAUCAGAAUUCUUGUUUUGAUAUGCUAACUCAUGCGACUAUUUUGCCUACCCAGAAAACAACUGAACACAUAACCAAGAGUCCCAGGCCUGCAGAAGGUGAAUAAACACGUCUGUCCUGAUGUUCCUGAACGUUCUCAGCCUGAAGCACACCACUGACUGUGCUACCGAGAUCUUGCUGCCUCUGAGCAGGAGUCCACGAGAAACUGCAGGGUAACCCUGCCCCAUGUUUAUGUCACAGACCAAGGCCAUCAGAGGGAACUCAUUCAAAUUCCUGCCACAGUUUCUGCAACUCCGAGAGCCUCUGUAGCUUGUCUUCCUCCUCUCUGACUGCAGGUAUCAAACAGAAAUUGCACUGGACACUUGUUCAAAACAGCAGGGAAGAUUUUAUUCAAGGUUAUUGCAACAUGGGGGAGAGAUUGUACUCAACUCCACAGACAUAGAAAUAGGAUAGUUUUUCAGCACCAGGCUGGGCUGUGGUGAAAGUCCUGGGGGUCCUUAGGGAAGAGGAGGGUCAAUAUGAUUAGACCAUCUGUGUCUUCUGAUUGUCUAACUUAAAACUGAAGUUAGGCUUCCACCCUGCAGGGAGAUGGGGAGACAGGGGCCCUGUCUUUCUUGGUAAUUACUUUUCAGGAUGCCUCCUGGAGAUUCCUGGGGUGUAGAAAAUUUACAUCUCAAGAGGUCACAGAAAUUAUAAGU
rnacentral:lncRNA from 1 species